CCUACGGGGAGCUGCAGUAGGGAAUAUUGCUCAAUGGGGGAAACCCUGAAGCAGCAACGCCGCGUGGAGGAUGAAGGUUUUCGGAUUGUAAACUCCUUUUGUUAGAGAAGAUAAUGACGGUAUCUAACGAAUAAGCACCGGCUAACUCCGUGCCAGCAGCCGCGGUAAUACGGAGGGUGCAAGCGUUACUCGGAAUCAAUGGGCGUAAAGCGCGCGUAGGCGGGAUAGCAAGUCAGAUGUGAAAUCCUAUGGCUUAACCAUAGAACUGCAUUUGAAACUGUUAUUCUAGAGUAUGGGAGAGGUAGGUGGAAUUCUUGGUGUAGGGGUAAAAUCCGUAGAGAUCAAGAGGAAUACUCAUUGCGAAGGCGACCUGCUAGAACAUAACUGACGCUGAUGCGCGAAAGCGUGGGGAGCAAACAGGAGUAGAUACCCCUGUAGUC
rnacentral:rRNA from 1 species